UAAGAGUUAGUUUAAAAUAAGAAUUGUUGACUGUUAAUCAGAAGGUUUACUCUUAA
rnacentral:tRNA from 1 species